GACAAACGCUGGCGGUAUGCCUAACACAUGCAAGUCGAACGGACAGAACAGGGAAGCUUUUCGGAGUGGAACUGGAAAGUUAGUGGCGGAUGGGUGAGUAACGCGUGGACAACCUACCUUGUAAAGGGGAAUAACCUCGAGAAAUCGAAGCUAAUACCCCAUAAUAACCUUGCUUCGCAUGAAGUAAGGAGGAAAGGCGGCCUUAGCGCUGUCGAUACAAGAUGGGUCCGCGUCUGAUUAGCUAGUUGGUGAGGUAAAGGCUCACCAAGGCGACGAUCAGUAGCCGGCCUGAGAGGGUGAACGGCCACAUUGGGACUGAGACACGGCCCAAGCUCCUACGGGAGGCAGCAGUGGGGAAUCUUCCGCAAUGGGCGAAAGCCUGACGGAGCAAUGCCGCGUGAGUGAAGAAGGCCUUCGGGUUGUAAAACUCUGUCCUUAUCGAAGAGAGAGUGUUGUAGUAACUGACAAUACUAGGACGGUAGAUGAGGAGGAAGCCCCGGCUAACUAUGUG
rnacentral:rRNA from 1 species